AUACAGAGGGUGCAAGCGUUAAUCGGAUUUACUGGGCGUAAAGCGCGCGUAGGAGGCUAAUUAAGUCAAAUGUGAAAUCCCCGAGCUUAACUUGGGAAUUGCAUUCGAUACUGGCUAGCUAGAGUAUGGGAGAGGAUGGUAGAAUUCCAGGUGUAGCGGUGAAAUGCGUAGAGAUCUGGAGGAAAACCGAUGGCGAAGGCGGCCUCAUGGGUUUAUACGGGCAGUGAGGGGCGAAAGCAUGGGGAGGAAACAGGAUUAAGUUCCCGGGUAGUCCAGGUCGUAAAGGAUGGCGUAUUGCGUUUGGGGGUCUGGAGGCUUUAGUGCCGCAGCUAACGCGAUAAGUAUACCGCCUGGGGAGUACGGUCGCAAGACUAAAACUCAAAUGAAUUGACGGGG
rnacentral:rRNA from 1 species